rnacentral:lncRNA from 1 species
AGAUAUCUAGAAAGUAGUAAUCAGAAUUUGCACCAACUCAAAGAUAAAACUCAGAAGAAGACUCAAUCAAAAAAUGGAGUCAAAUUCUGGAGACAAGGCCGAAUCCCGUGAAGCCCAAAGACCUGAUCCGAGCAAGCCUAGAUCGGCUAAGAUAGAUCCUCAACGCCAUCAAAGAAGGGAGGGCAUAUGGGCUGCCAAGACAAUCGAGCCAAGGAAGCACCAAUAAUUAUGAAUCAUAGGCUUUUAGAAUAAUCCAGGACGCCAAAGAUCCAAGUUCAAGGCUGAUCAGAAAUUUAAAAACCCAACCUGAAGACUAUGCGCACAAAAUCGUGCAUGGAGGAGGAAGUCGAGCCGCACACAUGCUCUACUCAGGAACAUGUGUGCAAGACGAGGGUGAUCUUAUGGAU